rnacentral:rRNA from 1 species
AUUGAACGCUGGCGGCAGGCCUAACACAUGCAAGUCGAACGAGUGGCGGAGGGGUGGGUAAUGUCUGGGAAACUGCCUGAUGGAGGGGGAUAACUACUGGAAACGGUGGCUAAUACCGCAUACCAUCAGAUGUGCCCAGAUGGGUUUAGCUAGUUGGGGGGGUAACGGCUCACCAAGGCGACGAUCCCUAGCUGGUCUGAGAGGAUGACCAGCCAACCUGGAACUGAGACACGGCCCAGACUCCUACGGGAGGCAGCAGUGGGGAAUAUUGCACAAUGGGCGCAAGCCUGAUGCAGCCAUGCCGCGUGUAUGAAGAAGGCUUUCGGGUUGUAAAGUACUUUCAGCGGGGAGGCGUUACCCGCAGAAGAAGCACCGGCUAACUCCGUGCCAGCCGCCGCGGUAAUUC